rnacentral:rRNA from 14 species
UCCGGUGGUGAUAUCAAGAAGGCUACACCCGAUCCCAUACCGAACUCGGAAGUUAAGCUUCUUGGAGCCGAUGGUACUGCCAGGGCAACCUGGUGGGAGAGUAGGACGCCGCCGGGA